GACUCGGUAGCUCAGUGUAGAGCAUACCGAUUGCAGAUCGUGCGGUCCCGUGUUCGAACCACGGUCGGGUCU